GUAGGUGAACCUGCGGAAGGAUCAUUCAUAAUAAGUGUUUUAUGGCACUUUUUAAAUCCAUAUCCACCUUGUGUGCAAUGUCGGUCGAUCUUCUUCAUGGAGAUCGACCAAACAUCAACCUUUAUCUUUUAACUCUUUGUCUGAAAAAUAUUAUGAAUAAACAAUUCAAAAUACAACUUUCAACAACGGAUCUCUUGGCUCUCGCAUCGAUGAAGAACGCAGCAUCUGACUGACUACGUGGUUACGUAUC
rnacentral:misc_RNA from 1 species